rnacentral:misc_RNA from 1 species
UACGUACUGCGCGAACGUUAUUCGGAAUCACUGGGCUUAAAGGGUGCGUAGGCGGUUUUUCUAGUCAGGUGUGAAAUCUUUCGGCUCAACCGGAAAAUGGCGCUUGAAACUGAUGAACUGGAGUAUGCUAGGGGUGUGCGGAACUGCCAGUGGAGCGGUGAAAUGUGUUGAGAUUGGCAGGAACGCCGGUGGCGAAAGCGGCACACUGGGGCAUAACUGACGCUGAGGCACGAAAGCCAGGGUAGCGAACAGG